ACGUGUUUUUCGAAGCUCUCGACGUCGUACUCAGUAUAAAUUGAACUGGGCUGGCAAAGAACGCUCAGUUGCGACUUUGAAAUUGACCGUUACGGACGUGUUUUUUAUGCGCUCUUUUUUUUACAUUGACUUAAUCUUAGUUCAAUGAAAGACUUUGACAAAGACGGACGUACUUUCGUGAGCUCUGACUAUUGAUGAAAAGUUUUGAGUUUAACUGACUUGUACUUUGAGAGUUAAAUUGACUUCGCGUUAUAGAAUAGCGACUUGGUACUCGGGUUAUGGAAUUACUGGUGGACUGCAGUGUUAGGGUAUUGUCAUGAGAUGACGGCUUGACUUUUACUUGCGUUGUGAAAUGAAAUCAUGCUCUCAUGCGAUGAUAACUUUUGAACGUUUAGUACUGACUGACAACGAACUUUUGUGAGCGUUAUAUAUGAAAGGUUUGACUUACAUUAAUUUUUUUGAACGACUUGACUUCACUUUAAGUUUUGACAUCGGACUGAUCGGACGUGUUUUUUUAAGCCCUGACUGUUGUGAAUAAUUAAAUUUAUGUUGUGGUGUCAAGCGAUUGACUGUCAGUUGAGGUUCAGAUGUCGAGCUGUGCGGACGUGUUCAUCGAGCUGCUGUCUACAAAAAACGUGAGUACAAAUUUUUUUCGUUUUACUGUUUACAAGUUGCGUGAUGAUGUAUGAUGGUUGUAAUGUGUUGGGUAGAAAUUACUCAGUGCUGAUACAGUGUCGAUAUGUUGUGAUGAGCGAUAAUAGUGGAUGAUGGUGGAACAGAAUAUGCAUUGAGCUAUUUUGAGGAAGCGAACAUAUGAUGGAAAAAUGUUGCAAAAAUAUUAAAUGACAAUGUAUUGAAUCGCUUUUGUUGAUAUGUAUGAUAUUGAUUAAAUUGUAUUUGCAUGCUGUAACAUUUCUAUUUCAUUUCAGGGGGCUGUGGUGAGUAUUGUAGUAUAAAUUUGUUUCAAUAAAUCAUGAUGAAUGAAAACUGAUUUCGAUUCGUUUUGUACAGGUUUACUUGUAUAGAAGUGUAAUGCGUUGGGUAGAAAUUACUCAGUACUGAUAUAGUGUCGAUAUGUUGUGAUUAGCGAUGAUGGUGUAUGAUGGUGGAACAGAAUAUGAGCUUCUUUGGGGAAACGAACAUAUGAUUGAAAAAAAUUUGCAAACAUAGUAGAUAAAUGAUAUGAUAUUGCUUAAAUUGUAUUUGCAUGCUGUAACAUUUCUAUUUCAUUUCAGGGUGCUGUGGUGAGUACUGUAGAUUGUAGUGCAUAUGUAUAGAAUUCAAUAAAAGAUUAUGACUGAAAACUGCUUUUGAUUCUUAUUGUACAGUUUUAGGGAUUAUAAGUCUAUAGCAACUCUGUCGGUUGGUGUUCAUGAGUGUGAGCUUAAUACAGCAAUGUUUGAGUAGUACAAAAAUGUUUUCGCUUUUGUGGUCGCCAGCUGUCCGUGAUCUGUAAAGUGAAAAUACACAGAGCUAUGAAGCAUACAAAUGUUUCGAAAUUUUAUCAAUGAUUGUAUACUAUGCAUGUUUUGAUUUAGUUCGUUUCAGAUUUGACAUGAGAUGAAAACCUGACAUGAUUUGAACAGAGCUGGGAAACGAAAAGGUAAGUCUGUUUCAUUCCACUAUGAACACUUGUAUUUUGACAAAAGAAGAGAUAAAGUGAGUUACUUUAUCAUCAUGGUUUCAUUUGGUGUAUAACACAUGAACAGAGGUAAACCUAGCUAGCUUUUCGUGUACUCUAUUUUGGAUGAUGAUUAUGUCAGUAACUUUAAUUGUACGGCUAGUAAAGUAUGAACAUGAAUGCUUUGUUCAGAUUUUCAGAUGUGUUCAAGUCUGGCAGCUGGAGUGAACAGUUGUGUUUUCUGGAGCUCCAACAAUAUGCUAGAAGGUAAGUAACUAUGUUUGUUUUGCAUUGCAUGUUUUUAUAUGUUUCAGACUUUCAAGCAGAGAUGUCAUGCUGACUGGAGUUGAGCACAGGGCAGUGACAAAUUGAAAGGUAAGUACUUUUGACUGAAUGUUUGUUCUAUGCAUGUUUUGUUUUAAUACAUUUCAGGAGUGCUUAUCCAGUGAUGAUAUGACAGUUGGAGUGAACAGUGGAGCCAAGCAGUCUUGUUUUUGGAGCUACUCAACAAGCCUUGAAGAUGCUGAUGGCAGUGAUGGGUUUUCAAGCUGACCUGAACAGAAAAGCACUCAUAUGGUAAGUACAAAAUAGUUGUUAUAUGGGAUGUUUUGUGCAUGCUUCUAUGUUUCAGGUGUACUUGCUGACAGCGACGAAGACGAUACGAUAAGAGGAACAUUGUUGAGAAUGUGAUUGGGACUUGCAAACAGGGUAAGUGUAACAAUUGUGUUUGUUUAAUUUGUAACAUGCGUGCUUUGCUCUGUUUCAGAUUUCACAUGCAGAAAUUAAACAGGAUCUCAACUGCUGAAACACAAUUCAUCAAAAGUAAGGUAAGUUUUAAUUCAUUGAUUUGAAUUGUACAAUGUGUUCUUUACUUUAUUUCAGAUUCGAGUCACUGGUUUACACAUGGAAGAAGAUUUCCACGUCUGUUACUCAACUCUACAGAAGCAAGGUAAGUCGAUCAAUUUUUUGUUUUAAUUUGUACUGCUGUAAUGUGAUGGUAAACUUAUGCUAUUUUUUAUGUGUGUCAUGUACAGAUGGAUAAUUCAAGUUUGAUCUGUGUUGGUUUAUGUUCAAAAACGUUUUACAUGUAUGUGUGUUUCCAGAUGUUUUGUUUCAGUUGAUGUCCAGAUGGCAAGCAGAACAGACGUGUUUCUUGGAUCUGCCAAACAGUGAGUACAAACGUUUUAUAUUUUUCAGUUGUGUACUCAUAGAAGUCUGUGAAAGAUGAUAGCAAGGGUAGAAUCUAUCAGUACUUGUGUCUAAAAAUGCUGAUGUGUGACGGUUUACUGAAAAGGGUAAAUGCUAGCCAGUACUUACACUUGAGCAACCGUGGGAUGUCGAACUAACUGAUGAUGUACUAUGAUGGUGAACACUUACUAUGUGUAUCAAAAUGCUUUUGUUGAUAUUUACUAUAGAUGAUUUGAUAUUGGUUAACAUUUGUUUGCAUGCUGUUAACAUUUCUAUUUCAUUUCAGGGAGCUGUGGUGAGUAUUGUAGUAUACAUUUGUUUCAAUAAACCAUGAUUAAUGAAAACUGAUUUCGAUUCUUUUUUACAGUUUUAGGGAUUAUCACUCUAUAACAACUCUGUCGGUUGGUGUUCGUGAAUGUGAGCUUAAUGUUUGAGUAGUACAAAAAUGUCUUUACUUUUGUGAUCGCCAGUUGUCUGUGAUUUAAAGUGAAAAAUACACAGAGCUAUGAAGCAUACACUUGUUUCAAUAUUUUAUCAAUGAUUCAUCAAUGAUAGUGUGCUAUGCAUGUUUUGAUUUAGUUCGUUUCAGGUAUGACAUGACAUGAAGAGUUGACAGUCGAACAGAGCUGAGCAACGCAGAAAGGUAAGUGUGUUUCAUUUUAGUAUGAACACUUGUAUUUUGUUUUUAUAUGGUAUGUUUUGUGCAUGCUAUGUUUCAGGUGUACUUGUAGUCAGCGACGAAGACGAUUCAAGAAGAGGAACAUUGCUGAGAAAGUGAAUGGGACAUGCAAACAGGGUAAGUGUUACAAUUGUUGGUUUGAUUUUUACCAUGCAUACUUUGCUUUACUCUGUUUCAGAUUUCACAUGCAGAAAUGGUCUCAUAGCAGUGCCAACAGUGAAUAAGGAUUUCAUCUGCUGUGAAACAACUCAACAGAAAGUAGGUAAGCAUUGAAUGAAUGCACUUGAGCUGUACAAUUUGAUGUGAUGCUUUUCUCUGUUUCAGAUUCAAGUUCCUGGUGUAGACAGAGAAAUGUGUUUGAAGAAGGAAUUCUACUACUGUGAUUCAACUCUACAGAAGCAAGGUAAGUAGAAACAAAAUUUUGGUUUAAUUUAACUCAUGUGUUUUGCACUGCAUGCUAUUUUUCAGGUCUCUCAUGCAGUGAGGGAAAAGAAGAAGAUUUCAAGAAAAAAUCACUGCUGCAACUCAGGCCGAUAACAAGGUAAGCGUUUACUAUAUUGUAUACAAAAUGUUUUUCUGUUUUACUCUGUUUCAGGUUUCAAUUGCAGAGAUGUUGCAGAGAUGAUUUGACAGCUUGUGACAGAAAAGAAAUUCAGCAGCUGUGUCUCGACUCUAGCCACGAGAUUGGAAUGGUGGGUCGUUACAGAGCAGACUUUUGGACAACUGAGAAGUUGAGAAACAGAGAAUGAUUCAAGAUCAGCUAGGUAAGUCUUGAUUAUUAUGCAUUGCUAAAUGUUUUUUUCAUUCCAGUAUGGCUGUGGUAAGUACACAAACUUUCUAUAAUUUAAUAUUGAACUGUUUUUAUGACCUGUAUUCUGCAUUGUAAAAUGUCUGUUUUUCAUUUCAGUAUCCUGUGGUAAGUACACUAACUUUGUAUAAUUUCAUAUUGAAAUGUUUUGAUGACUUGUAUCCUGCUAUGCAAUGCUUAAUAUAUUUUUCAUUUCAGUGUGGCUGUGGUAAGUACAAUUGCCUUCUUUAAUUUUCAUAUUGAACUGUUUUGAUGACUUGUAUCCUGCUAUGCAAUGCUUAAUAUAUUUUUCAUUUCAGUGUGGCUGUGGUAAGUACAAUUGCCUUCUUUAAUUUUCAUAUUGAACUGUUUUGAUGAUUUGUAUACUGCUAUGCAAUGCUUAUUGUUUUUUACAUUUCAGUGUGGCUGUGGUAAGUACACUAACUUUCUUUAAUUUUCAUAUUGAACUGUUUUGAUGACUUGUAUUCUGCUAUACAAAAUGUGUUUUUUUCAUUUCAGUUGCCUGUGGUAAGUACACUAACUUUCUUUAAUUUUCAUAUUGAACUGUUUUGAUGACUUGUAUACUGCAUUGUAAAAUGUGUUUCUUUUUCAUUUCAGUAUGGCUGUGGUAAGUACACAAACUUUCUAUAAUUUCAUAUUGAACUGUUUUGAUGACUUGUAUUCUACUAUGCAAUGCUUAAUGUAUUUUUUCAGUAGCCUGUUGGUAAGUACAAUUGCCUUCUUUAAUUUUCAUAUUGAACUGUUUUGAUGAUGUGUAUACUGCUAUGCAAUGCUUAAUGUUUUUUUCAUUUCAGUAUGGCUGUGGUAAGUACACAUACUUUCUAUAAUUUCAUAUUGAACUGUUUUGAUGACUUGUAUACUGCUAUGCAAAAUGUCUGUUUUUCAUUUCAGUAGCCUGUGGUAAGUACACUAACUUUCUUUAAUUUUCAUAUUGAACUGUUUUGAUGACUUGUAUUCUGCUAUACAAAAUGUGCUUUUUUCAAUUUCAGGUCAGCAAUGGUAAGUAUAGUGUGUUUCUUUAUGUAUAAUUUUGUAUACAUAUUGUUUUUUUCAUCAUAGCAUGUCUUUUAUAUUUAUGCUUUGUGUAAGUAAAAUGUUCAUAAAUCAUUCUUAUCUUCAAACUAAAAAUGUAUUGUGCUAUGCAAAAUGUCUGUAUGAUUUCAGUUGCCAGAGGUGAGUACCAUUACAGUUGAAAAGUUAGUUUUGUUUAGUUAAAGUUUUGGUUCACAGUUCUGUUUGUUAUUUGGCAAAAUUUACAUGUAUGCAUUGAGUCUUGAUUUCAGCUAGAUUGUGGACUGAAGAAGAUUGCCAGCAGAGGGAUUGGAUACAAGAUACAAACUUUACUGCUGGACGAGUGUUCUCUACUACUAGACGUGUCAGGUUUACUACCAGGCGAGCAGUGACAACAAGGCGCCUUUGUGGAAACAACACAACAAAAAACUGUACUGCUAGACGAGCAGUGACAGAAAGGCGCCUGAACAUGCAACACAAAACAAAAAAUGCCAAUAUACAAACCUUGAUGUGGACACCGAGUAGUCAAUACAUACGUGUGGCGUACAGCUGCGACAAAACCGUGGGUCCAUCGCACCGAUAACUCGAAUAUUGGCCCGCGUAUGGACAUCAGUGCAACUUUGUGAAUCCAUGUAACUUUGUGAAUCCAUGUAACAUUGCGAAUAUGUGUCGAUCGAAAAAUGUGUACAUUCUGCACUGAAACGAACUCGGUGUUGCAAGUGGCAAGUGUUGACAGUGUGUAUGUUUAUGUUUAUGUUUUUACAUGAAAAAUAAAGGAGAUUGUUCUCCUACCUUUUU